GUAGGGGUGCAAGCGUUAAUCGGAAUUACUGGGCGUAAAGCGUGCGCAGGCGGUUUUGUAAGUCUGACGUGAAAGCCCCGGGGGCUCAACCUGGGAAUUGCGUUGGAGACUGCAAGGCUUGAAUCUGGCAGAGGGGGUAGAAUUCCACGUGUAGCAGUGAAAUGCGUAGAGAUGUGGAGGAACACCGAUGGCGAAGGCAGCCCCCUGGGUCAAGAUUGACGCUCAUGCACGAAAGCGUGGGGAGCAAACAGGAUUAGAUACCCUGGUAGUCCACGCCUAAACGAUGUCUACUAGUUGUCGGGUCUUAAUUGACUUGGUAACGCAGCUAACGCGUGAAGUAGACCGCCUGGGGAGUACGGUCGCAAGAUU
rnacentral:rRNA from 1 species